rnacentral:rRNA from 1 species
UACGUAGGUGGCAAGCGUUGUCCGGAAUUACUGGGUGUAAAGGGAGUGUAGGCGGGAUAUCAAGUCAGAAGUGAAAAUUGCGGGCUCAACUCGUAACCUGCUUUUGAAACUGACAUUCUUGAGUGAAGUAGAGGCAAGCGGAAUUCCUAGUGUAGCGGUGAAAUGCGUAGAUAUUAGGAGGAACACCAGUGGCGAAGGCGGCUUGCUGGGCUUUUACUGACGCUGAGGCUCGAAAGCGUGGGGAGCAAACAGG